CAUAGCAGGUAUUAUGUGCCACGUCAACUGUUGUUGCUCGGGAGUUGCUCGGUCCGUCGUUGGGGUUUCGUGGCCAGCGGCGGAAGCGAUUUCGACAGUCUUCAGUUCAGCCGCCGGGACAGGAGGAGCGAUGGCCCCGGUCGCCUUGCGAUUCUCUUUCUCAGCACUCACUCUGCCUUAUCCUUCCACAUACAAGCGCCGCCCCUUCCUCCCUUUCUCGGCUCUCACCGCCAGUCUCCUUCGCCAUCUCUGCAUCGCUCGCGCGGCAACGGGCACCUCGCCUUCAGCGUUCUGGAUCCUGCGAGAGCUCCAUUUGGACGAGAAAGAAGCGGAUGCGCUCCUCCUCGCGCAUCCAGAGCUCGAGCUCACGGCUCAGGAAUCCCUUCGCGACCAUGUACUCACCCUUAAGUCCCUUGGAAUCUCUGACUCUGCGCUCCGCCGCAUCGUCGUCCGGCGCCCAGACGUUCUCUCGGCUACCGAGUUCGGCCCCUUCCUCGAUUUUGUGCUCGCCAAAUUGAAGGGGAUCAAACGGGAGAAAUUGGAGCGGAUUUUGGCGACGAUCCACUCCGAGUUCCUCGAGGGCAUCAUUGCGGGCGCCACGCUUCUCUUGGACCACGGUUUCCCCGGCGAGCAUCUAGGGCAUGUGUUCAACCAUGUGAACAUCAGGAAGGUGUUCCGCGAAAGGCCCCUGAGAGACUUGGAGGAGAUGAUAUUCUAUCUUAAGCGAUUCGGCUGGCCCAAAUGGGUCCUCAGCCGGCCAAUGAUUCUGAAUCUCGAUCUCCAUGGCCAGCUGAUCCCCAGGGUAGAAUUCUUUAUCGAGCUUGGCGGCGGAGAUGAAGCGGCUGGUGCCGCCUUGAUCUCCAAAUUGCCUGCCCUGUUAACCUAUGCAGCAGAUCGCUUCCGUUCCCACCUGGAGUUCUGGAGAUCCGUUGGCCUCACUGACGAAGAGCUCUUUAAGGUUGCAUUGGUGUAUCCCAACAUCUUCAGUGUUAGCAAGGAGCAGAAACUCAAGCCCCGGAUUGAAUUCUUGAGGCAAUGUGGCAUGAGUGCAGAGGACAUCUUCAAAUUCUUGGUCAAGGCUCCCUUGUUCAUGAGCCUGUCCUUCGAGAAAAACCUCUCCAAGAAGCUGAGCUUCCUCGUAAAAAUCGGCCACAGGCACCAGACUAAGGAGUUGGCCUGGGCAUUUGGGGCUGCUACGAGAACAAGCUGCGAGAACAUGCAGAGGGUGAUUGAAGUCUUAUUGAGCUAUGGGCUGUCUUUUGAGGAUAUACUAGCUAUGAGCAAGAAGCAUCAUCAGGUGCUCCAGUACAACCAUAAGUCACUGGAGAAGAAAAUGGAGUUCCUGAUAGAGGAUAUGGAGAGGGAUGUCAGCGAGAUAUUAAACUUCCCAGCAUUUCUUGGAUACAACCUAGAUGACCGGAUUAAGAGACGGUACGAGAUAAAAAGGAAGAUAAGAGGAAAAGGAAUGUCGCUUAACAAGCUCUUGAGUGUGUCUACGGAGAGGUUUUAAGGUUCUACCGCUGAUGGAGCUCAAUCAUAAAUUUGAACAGAGAGAACCACUGGAGAAAUGGUUCUUCAUCCAACUGCAGUGUGAAGUUUUGCAAGAGGAAUGCGAAGUGUCGCCCCUCAGGCGUGGUGGAAAAAGAUAUGACGUAUAUCCCAAGUAAAUAGGGUUUAUAUUCCAUGCUGCAGGGUAUAUCUACGGAGAUUGGAUUAUCAGUGAAGCUGAGACACCGUGCAGCGAUAAGGCACUUUGUGGAUAUCUGUUUGAUUCUUGGCUGAUGCAUAUAUUCUAUUUGGAAGAAAAUGGUAAGAAGUGAUACAAAGUACGAUUAUCUAGGUGAGGUUAGAUGACUCUUACCUAAUGGAGUAGUCAUGUUUGCGGCCCAUAAUUCUAGGAUACGAGUGGAGCAUGAGUAAUCAUGUUUGUGGCCCAUGAUUCUAGUAUAUGAGUGAAGCACGACAGCCUAUAACAAUGGAUCAAUUGUGGAGGUUGAUUGUCAGUGGUCUUCAAUGUGAGUCACGUACUUCCUAAAUUUAUUACAAUCAUAAUUUUUAAUCAUGUUUGUAGCCAAUGAUUCUAGUAUAUGAGUGAAGCAUGACAGCCUAUAACAAUGGAUCAAUUGUGGAGAUCGAUUAUCA